ACGUCUGAUGGAGCACGCCGCGUGAGUGAAGAAGGGUUUCGGCUCGUAAAACUCUGUUGUUAAAGAAGAACAUAUCUGAGAGUAACUGUUCAGGUAUUGACGGUAUUUAACCAGAAAGCCACGGCUAACUACGUGCCAGCAGCCGCGGUAAUACGUAGGUGGCAAGCGUUGUCCGGAUUUAUUGGGCGUAAAGCGAGCGCAGGCGGUUUUUUAAGUCUGAUGUGAAAGCCUUCGGCUCAACCGAAGAAGUGCAUCGGAAACUGGGAAACUUGAGUGCAGAAGAGGACAGUGGAACUCCAUGUGUAGCGGUGAAAUGCGUAGAUAUAUGGAAGAACACCAGUGGCGAAGGCGGCUGUCUGGUCUGUAACUGACGCUGAGGCUCGAAAGUAUGGGUAGCAAACAGGAUUAGAUACCCUGGUAGUCCAUACCGUAAACGAUGAAUGCUAAGUGUUGGAGGGUUUCCGCCCUUCAGUGCUGCAGCUAACGCAUUAAGCAUUCCGCCUGGGGAGUACGGCCGCAAGGCUGAAACUCAAAGGAAUUGACGGGGGCCCGCACAAGCGGUGGAGCAUGUGGUUUAAUUCGAAGCUACGCGAAGAACCUUACCAGGUCUUGACAUACUAUGCAAAUCUAAGAGAUUAGACGUUCCCUUCGGGGACAUGGAUACAGGUGGUGCAUGGUUGUCGUCAGCUCGUGUCGUGAGAUGUUGGGUUAAGUCCCGCAACGAGCGCAACCCUUAUUAUCAGUUGCCAGCAUUAAGUUGGGCACUCUGGUGAGACUGCCGGUGACAAACCGGAGGAAGGUGGGGAUGACGUCAAAUCAUCAUGCCCCUUAUGACCUGGGCUACACACGUGCUACAAUGGAUGGUACAACGAGUUGCGAACUCGCGAGAGUAAGCUAAUCUCUUAAAGCCAUUCUCAGUUCGGAUUGUAGGCUGCA
rnacentral:rRNA from 2 species